CUACGUGCCAGCAGCCGCGGUAAUACGGAAGGUCCAGGCGUUAUCCGGAUUUAUUGGGUUUAAAGGGAGUGUAGGCGGUUUGUUAAGCGUGUUGUGAAAUUUAGAUGCUCAACAUUUAACUUGCAGCGCGAACUGUCAGACUUGAGUACACGUAACGUAUGCGGAAUUCAUGGUGUAGCGGUGAAAUGCUUAGAUAUCAUGAAGAACUCCGAUUGCGAAGGCAGCAUACGGGAGUGUAACUGACGCUUAAGCUCGAAGGUGCGGGUAUCGAACAGGAUUAGAUACCCUGGUAGUCCGCACAGUAAACGAUGGAUGCCCGCUGUUAGCGCCUGGCGUUAGCGGCUAAGCGAAAGCAUUAAGCAUCCCACCUGGGGAGUACGCCGGCAACGGUGAAACUCAAAGGAAUUGACGGGGGCCCGCACAAGCGGAGGAACAUGUGGUUUAAUUCGAUGAUACGCGAGGAACCUUACCCGGGCUUGAA
rnacentral:rRNA from 1 species